ACCACCGUCUUGUGAUUGAGUGGGAGCUGGACUACUAGAUGAGAAGAGAUAUGGCCCAGCUAGCCUCAUCACUCUCUGCAAAACUCAACCAACUGCAAGCUGUACACGAGGCCAUAGCCUGCCGGUUGAUCCUGGGGCCACAGGGCUUCUCAAACUCCAGGAUGCAUCAGAGUCACAGGGAGAUACACAGUGGUAGAUCCAACCCAGAGCUUCUUUCUUUUUGCACCAACAGCAUUUGUUUCACCCUGCUAGAUGCUGGAGGAGAUUUUUUAAAAAAGAACUUAUUUCAUUCUUAA
rnacentral:lncRNA from 1 species